CCUACGGGAGGCAGCAGUGAGGAAUAUUGGUCAAUGGUCGCGAGACUGAACCAGCCAAGCCGCGUGAGGGAUGAAGGUACAGUGUAUCGUAAACCUCUUUUGUCAGGGAACAAAGGCGGGGACGUGUCCCCGGCUGAGUGUACCCGAAGAAAAAGCAUCGGCUAACUCCGUGCCAGCAGCCGCGGUAAUACGGAGGAUGCGAGCGUUAUCCGGAUUUAUUGGGUUUAAAGGGUGCGCAGGCGGUCUGUAAAGUCAGCGGUAAAAGCGAGGGGCUCAACCCCGGCGAGCCGUUGAAACUGGCAGUCUCGAGUGGGAGAGAAGUAUGCGGAAUGCGCGGUGUAGCGGUGAAAUGCAUAGAUAUCGCGCAGAACUCCGAUUGCGAAGGCAGCAUGCCGGCUCCACACUGACGCUGAGGCACGAAAGCGUGGGUAUCGAACAGGAUUAGAUACCCUUGUAGUC
rnacentral:rRNA from 1 species